GCCUGGGUAGCUCAGUCGGUAGAGCGAAGGACUGAAAAUCCUUGCGUCGCCGGUUCGAUUCCGGCCCCAGGCA
rnacentral:tRNA from 1 species